rnacentral:rRNA from 1 species
AGAGUUUGAUCCUGGCUCAGAUUGAACGCUGGCGGCGUGCUUAACACAUGCAAGUCGAACGUGAAAGUCCUUCGGGGCGAGUAAAGUGGCGCACGGGUGAGUAACGCGUGGAUAAUCUACCCUUAAGAUGGGGAUAACGGCUGGAAACGGUCGCUAAUACCGAAUACGCUCCCGAUUUUAUCAUUGGGGGGAAAGAUGGCCUCUGCUUGCAAGCUAUCGCUUAAGGAUGAGUCCGCGUCCCAUUAGCUAGUUGGCGGGGUAACGGCCCACCAAGGCAACGAUGGGUAGCCGGUCUGAGAGGAUGACCGGCCACACUGGAACUGGAACACGGUCCAGACUCCUACGGGAGGCAGCAGUGGGGAAUAUUGCGCAAUGGGCGAAAGCCUGGCGCAGCGACGCCGCGUGAGGGAUGAAGGUUCUCGGAUCGUAAACCUCUGUCAGGGGGGAAGAAACCCCCUCGUGUGAAUAAUGCGAGGGCUUGACGGUACCCCCAAAGGAAGCACCGGCUAACUCCGUGCCAGCAGCCGCGGUAAUACGGAGGGUGCAAGCGUUAAUCGGAAUCACUGGGCGUAAAGCGCACGUAGGCGGCUUGGUAAGUCAGGGGUGAAAUCCCACAGCCCAACUGUGGAACUGCCUUUGAUACUG